AAAAUAUAUGGAGGUGGCUGAAGAAGUGAUGGAGAUACAGGAAGAAGCCGUCUCCAUCUUAUUGGGCUGUUAUAUUUGGAACAUCAUAAAUUGGACUACUGGCCCGAUAUAGUUUAAAAACAGCCUAUUUCUCUCUCUACCCCAUAAUUUCAAUCUACACCCCCAAUAAAUUUGAAAAUUUCAAUUUAUCCAUGUGGAAUUAAAUCCAUCAUAGUGAGUAUUAAUUGUGUUGGUGUUGAGUGGUUGUACAUUUAAUUUUUUUAGUUUUCAAAUCUAUAAUUCAAAAUUCAUAAAAUUUUAUGAAUACAA
rnacentral:lncRNA from 1 species